AUUGAACGCUGGCGGCAUGCUUUACACAUGCAAGUCGAACGGCAGCACGAAAGAGCUUGCUCUUUUGGUGGCGAGUGGCGAACGGGUGAGUAAUGCAUCGGAACGUACCGAGUAAUGGGGGAUAACUGUCCGAAAGGAUAGCUAAUACCGCAUACGCUUUGAGAAGGAAAGUGGGGGCUCUUCGGACCUCACGUUAUUCGAGCGGCCGAUGUCUGAUUAGCUAGUUGGUGGGGUAAAGGCCUACCAAGGCGACGAUCAGUAGCGGGUCUGAGAGGAUGAUCGGCCACACUGGAACUGAAACACGGCCAAGACUCCUACGAGAGGCAGCAGUGGCGAAUUUUGGACAAUGGGCGCAAGCCUGAUCCAGCCAUGCCGCGUGUCUGAAGAAGGCCUUCGGGUUGUAAAGGACUUUUGUUAGGGAAGAAAAGGAUAGUGUUAAUACCAUUAUCUGCUGACGGUACCUAAAGAAUAAGCACCGGCUAACUACGUG
rnacentral:rRNA from 1 species